GGGGAAUAUUGCACAAUGGGCGUAAGCCUGAUGCAGCGACGCCGCGUGGGGGAUGACGGCCUUCGGGUUGUAAACCUCUUUCGACAGGGACGAAGCUUUUGUGACGGUACCUGUAUAAGAAGCACCGGCUAACUACGUGCCAGCAGCCGCGGUAAUACGUAGGGUGCGAGCGUUGUCCGGAAUUACUGGGCGUAAAGAGCUCGUAGGUGGUUUGUCGCGUCGUCUGUGAAAUUCCGGGGCUUAACUUCGGGCGUGCAGGCGAUACGGGCAUAACUUGAGUGCUGUAGGGGAGACUGGAAUUCCUGGUGUAGCGGUGGAAUGCGCAGAUAUCAGGAGGAACACCGAUGGCGAAGGCAGGUCUCUGGGCAGUAACUGACGCUGAGGAGCGAAAGCAUGGGGAGCGAAC
rnacentral:rRNA from 1 species